rnacentral:rRNA from 1 species
UUGCAGUUAAAAAGCUCGUAGUUGGAUUUUGGUUAAGAGGGCGCGGUCGGCCGUUUGGUCUGUACUGCGUUGUCUUGACUUCCUGAUGAGGACAUGCUCUUGGUUAACGCUGAGACAUGGAGUCAUCGUGGUUACUUUGAAAAAAUUAGAGUGUUCAAAGCGGGCUUACGCUUGAAUAUAUUAGCAUGGAAUAACACUACAGGACUCCUGUCCUAUCUCGUUGGUCUCGGGAUGGGAGUAAUGAUUAAGAGGAACAGUUGGGGGCAUUCGUAUUUCAUUGUCAGAGGUGAAAUUCUUGGAUUUAUGAAAGACGAACUUCUGCGAAAGCAUUUGCCAAGGAUGUUUCAUUAAUCAAGAACGAAAGUUGGGGGCUCGAAGAUGAUUAGAUACCAUCCUAGUCUCAACCAUAAACGAUGCCGACUAGGGAUUGGUGGAUGUUAAUUGAUGACUUCACCAGCACCUUAUGAGAAAUCAAAGUUUUUGGGUUCCGGGGGGAGUAUGGUCGCAAGGCUGAAACUUAAAGGAAUUGACGGAAGGGCACCACCAGGCGUGGAGCCUGCGGCUUAAUUUGACUCAACACGGGGAAACUUACCAGGUCCAGACAUAAGUAUGAUUGACAGAUUGAGAGCUCUUUCUUGAUUCUAUGGGUGGUGGUGCA